rnacentral:lncRNA from 1 species
GAAUCCACGUGGCCAAUUGUUUUGCAGACAUAAUGGUGGUGUAUUUAUGUAUUUCUAAACUUGUUUUUCAGGAUCUGUGGCUGCCUGUGUAUCAUGAAGCUCGCUGCUUAACAACAGAAAUAAAGCACUUGUCAGGCAGAAGCAAUGCGUCAGUGCAAAAUGGAAUUCGCAAUACUGAAGUUUACAUGAGACAACAACAAAAUCUACUGUGCCAUUCUGUUAGGCAACAAAGGAAGAAGGGAAGUCAAGUGAAGUUACCACAUUCCUGUGGCAUGAAGAAGCAGCAUGACGUUCAGAAACAAUGCCUGUAGUACUUAGUGGCCUUAAAAGAAGUGGUUAAAAGCAGGAAGGGGAACCAUUAAUUGAUACAUACAGCAGACAGGCUGUGAAGGCGACUGACACGCGGUAGGCGAGAUUUUUCAUUAGCUUCUGCCCUUCCACUGAGAUUUGCCUAGAUGUUGCAUUGCAUGCUCACCGUUCCUGCAAAAAUCCCAUUUGCUGAAAUAAGUGGGGAGAUCAUUGUCCUUCCCAUAAAUUUCCAGUCAAUCCAUAUUGU